AAACCCAUGCCGAAGUAAUUGAGGUCAGAAAAUUUUGUUAUCUUAUACUUCAAUAAUAAGCAUGAUCUUUGCAUCUUUGCGUCUCAAAUCUCCAAAUUGGGUCUAACAAUUCUCCAUCCGAUCAAGUUUUCACUAAUUCAAGAAAUUUGAACGCCUACUUCCCUCUUACCGGGUUCUGAUCCCAACUCCCGGAAAUGGGUUCUUCCCAGAAAAGCUCCCAAUGGAGGAGCGUCUUCGAUGGCGUGAAACUCAAGACCAUCCCAUCAGUGCCAGAAGCUCUAAUGGCCGAGAUCAACACUGCAAUUUGCAAUCUUGAAUACGCACGCGCCUCUGUUCUUCUCGAAUCUACGUCCCCUUCUUCUUCCUCUUCUUCAAUCUCCAAGAAUGAGAGCUCUGCUCAACCUCAGUUUGAUGCCCGGAAAGCGGAUCAGGCUUACAAGGCAGGCUGUGCUGCCUUGGCUGCUGGGAAGCUCGAUGAGGCUCUUCUGUCAUUGAAUGUUUCGCUUUCGAAAUGCCCACCUGAUCAGACCUCUGCCGUUGCGAAGCUUCAUUCGCUUAUCUCUCUCACAUCUCAGCAGCUGUACAAACCCACCAACUGAAUUUAUUGGUGCAGCUUUUCAGCUGUUGUAUCAGUGCUCCAGAGAACUGUUGGAUCAGCUUAUUGUAUACUGUGUAGAGUUUUAACACUAGUUUGAAGUCAUAAUGUUAUAAUGGCAAUGCACCUUUUGGUGACAAAAGUUGGUGUGUGGUUUUGGACUUUUGGAAAUAGGAAUGUGGAGCUAUUAAAUGAAUCUAAGUAGAUAGGAAGGUGAUGGCUUUCAUGUGGUUGUGAGCAUUACAGCUCAAUGUAGGUGGUUGAUCACUCUCUAAGAUCAAAGACGUGUUUGAUUUUUUUUUAUAUUUGAGAUGAUAUGGUUUCUGUUAUGAUGUGUCAUUAA